GACGAACGCUGGCGGCGUGCCUAAUACAUGCAAGUGGGACGCAAGGGAACACACUGUGCUUGCACACCGUGUUUUCUUGAGUCGCGAACGGGUGAGUAACGCGUAGGUAACCUGCCUAUUAGCGGGGGAUAACUAUUGGAAACGAUAGCUAAUACCGCAUAAUAUUAAUUAUUGCAUGAUAAUUGAUUGAAAGAUGCAAGCGCAUCACUAGUAGAUGGACCUGCGUUGUAUUAGCUAGUUGGUAAGGUAAGAGCUUACCAAGGCGACGAUACAUAGCCGACCUGAGAGGGUGAUCGGCCACACUGGGACUGAGACACGGCCCAGACUCCUACGGGAGGCAGCAGUAGGGAAUCUUCGGCAAUGGACGAAAGUCUUGACCGAGCAAC
rnacentral:rRNA from 1 species